rnacentral:rRNA from 1 species
AGGACGAACGCUGGCGGCGUGCUUAACACAUGCAAGUCGAGCGGUAAGGCCUCUUCGGGGGUACACGAGCGGCGAACGGGUGAGUAACACGUGGGUGACCUGCCCUCAGCUCUGGGAUAAGCCUGGGAAACUGGGUCUAAUACUGGAUAUUCACUUCUCAUCGCAUGGUGGGUGGUGGAAGGUUUUUCGGCUGGGGAUGGGCCCGCGGCCUAUCAGCUUGUUGGUGGGUGAUGGCCUACCAAGGCGACGACGGGUAGCCGG